rnacentral:rRNA from 1 species
UACGUAGGGAGCGAGCGUUGUCCGGAAUGACUGGGCGUAAAGGGCGUGUAGACGGCUCUAUAAGUCUGGAGUGAAAGUCCUGCUUUUAAGGUGGGAAUUGCUUUGGAGACUGUGGAGCUUGAGUGCGGAAGAGGUAAGUGGAAUUCCCAGUGUAGCGGUGAAAUGCGUAGAGAUUGGGAGGAACACCAGUGGCGAAGGCGACUUACUGGGCCGUAACUGACGUUGAGGCGCGAAAGCGUGGGGAG